AUUUUUUAAUAUAUUGAUUUUAUAUACUAGGUAGGUGCCCAUUCUGUUCCUAGCUUCAGAAGUUAUUUAUACCUAUGCAUUACCUUCGCUCAGGUUAAAGAAUGGAAUGCUAGUCUCGCAUCAAAUAUAUAUUACAUAUCUAUUCGAUGUUUAUCACCAGAAGUUAAUUCUACCUUUGCAGUACCUCUGCUUUACAAACCUCCUUGCUGGUUAAAGAAUGGAAUAUAAAUCUCAUAUCAAGUUGGUGUAAAAAUUUAGUUCAAUAAAUUAAGAAUUUAUAAACGUUAUCAAAAUUUUGAGUGGAGCAAUUGUUUUUCUGGUUUAGCAUGAGUAUGAAUCUGAUAUCAAUUGGAUGUACAAAGAUAGUUUACUUCUUAAAGAAUCUAUCAGUAAACCAACUGAUUAUAGAACAGUUUUUAAUGGGAAUAAAAACAAAUUUUCAAAAGAUUUCAAUUAGCUAUUUGUAUAUUCAAACACUUUAUUUACUGAGAGAAGAGACUAUAGAUUCAA
rnacentral:lncRNA from 1 species